AGAGUUUGAUCAUGGCUCAGGAUGAACGCUGGCGGCGUGCUUAACACAUGCAAGUCGAACGAAGCGCCCUGGAACAAUUCUUCGGGAGAGGGAAAGGGCGGCUUAGUGGCGGACGGGUGAGUAACGCGUGGGUAACCUGCCCCGCACAGGGGGAUAACAGUUGGAAACGACCGCUAAUACCGCAUAAGCCGGCGGGGCCGCAUGGCCCAGCCGGAAAAGAUUUAUCGGUGUGGGAUGGACCCGCGUCUGAUUAGCCGGUUGGCAGGGUAACGGCCUACCAAAGCGACGAUCAGUAGCCGGCCUGAGAGGGUGAACGGCCACAUUGGGACUGAGACACGGCCCAAACUCCUACGGGAGGCAGCAGUGGGGAAUAUUGCACAAUGGGGGGAACCCUGAUGCAGCGACGCCGCGUGGGUGAAGAAGUAUUUCGGUAUGUAAAGCCCUAUCAGCAGGGAAGAGAAUGACGGUACCUGACUAAGAAGCCCCGGCUAACUACGUGCCAGCAGCCGCGGUAAUACGUAGGGGGCAAGCGUUAUCCGGAUUUACUGGGUGUAAAGGGAGCGUAGACGGCGGUGCAAGUCAGGAGUGAAAGGCAGGGGCUCAACCCCUGGACUGCUCUUGAAACUGCAUAGCUGGAGUGCUGGAGAGGUAAGCGGAAUUCCUGGUGUAGCGGUGAAAUGCGUAGAUAUCAGGAGGAACACCAGUGGCGAAGGCGGCUUACUGGACAGUGACUGACGUUGAGGCUCGAAAGCGUGGGGAGCAAACAGGAUUAGAUACCCUGGUAGUCCACGCGGUAAACG
rnacentral:rRNA from 1 species